GAAGAGAGAGUAAACAGUGCGUGAAACCGCUCAGAGGUAAACGGGUGGAGUUGAACUGCGAACCCCGAGAAUUCAACUGGUGAGUGUGGUAUGAGCUUGGCAUGAUGGUUGGCUCUGCGGGUCUGCUUAGCUGCAGGUCUUCACCUUUUGGUGGGGAUGCGCGAUACACUUGUCAAGUGGUGCGCGCUCGUUGAGUUACUCGGACAUGCUUGCCAGUGCACUUUCUCGGGGUGUUCACCACGACCGGCGCCGCUACUUGGCUAAUAUGGUUAAACCGUUCUUGCUUGGUCCUUGUGGCUUUGCUUGAUCGGGAUGGCAGGUAGCUCGUUGACUUGUGUGUUGGCCUCGGCUGACAUGCGCUUGGUUUUCGAGUGUAAUCAGCUGACUGUAUUGGUGCUAUGUAGUGCGUCGGAGACGGCGGCUUGUGGUGUGUGCGUGCGUGCCUAUUCGCUGACGGGACCGGGUUCGGUUAUUAUGUUGCCUGUUCUGCAGGCCUGGUGAUAGCCCGGUUUCGCUUGGUGGAUGGGGGCGUGUGUGACACUUAUCAGGGCCUAUAGUCUGUGGUGUUGUGGUAGACUAUCCACCUGACCCGUCUUGAAACACGGACCAAGGAGAGUAACAUGUGCGCGAGUCAUUGGGUGUUACGAAACCCAAAGGCGAAGUGAAAGUAAAGACUUGACUUGUUCGAGUUGAGGUGAGAUCCUGUCGUUUCUCAUGCGCGGUACUUCCAAGCAUUCGAGCGAUGGGCGCAUCACCGGCCCGUCUCAUGGUGUGGUCACUGUCUUCGGAUCGGUGCGUCACCGGGGCGGAGCAUGAGCGUACAUGUUGAGACCCGAAAGAUGGUGAACUAUGCUUGCGCAGGUUGAAGCCAGAGGAAACUCUGGUGGAGGACCGCAGCGAUUCUGACGUGCAAAUCGAUCGUCAAACGUGAGUAUAGGGGCGAAAGACUAAUCGAACCAUCUAGUAGCUGGUUCCCUCCGAAGUUUCCC
rnacentral:rRNA from 1 species